UAAAUGACAAAGUCUUAUUUUAAAAUGUGACUGUGUUUAUUUCCCACUGAGUACCCAAUGAAAGGAAGAUCACCCCUAUUUACCCUUACCAUGAAUUAAAAGCAAAAACAAAAUCACUGGAUUCCUCCACAGGCCAUGUAAGAAUCAUGUUAUCAAAGCUACUUUGGUGCCACAUCGAAAAAUGGCAGCUGAGAAUCCAAGGAAAUAUUGAUUUUACCAGCAGAAAAGGGUCUGUGAAAAUUAAAAAGAAUAUUGUUUAUUGGAGAGAAAUAUAAAAUAAUAAAAUAGGAGGCUCUAAAGCUAUGUGUACACAUGAAAUGUUGAAGAUAGAACCAAAGAUGCACUUGUGGGUUAGUAAAGAGUUCUUCCCUUUACUUCUGAGGCUCGCCCAGUUCUACAGAAGUCCUUGAGUCCUCGGUACUGUUCAGUAGUUUGGGAAGCAAAACUGAACCCUAUGCAGUCAAGAUCUGGUUCAAGAUAGUAUGUGCUUUUGAACUGGUAUGAGUCACUAACUGGUGCUGAGUCUUAAGGGAACUCAGAGAAAAAGG
rnacentral:lncRNA from 1 species